GGCGGGACACGUGGUAUCCUGUCUGAAUAUGGGGGGACCAUCCUCCAAGGCUAAAUACUCCUGACUGACCGAUAGUGAACCAGUACCGUGAGGGAAAGGCGAAAAGAACCCCGGCGAGGGGAGUGAAAAAGAACCUGAAACCGUGUACGUACAAGCAGUGGGAGCACAGGUUUACCUGUGUGACUGCGUACCUUUUGUAUAAUGGGUCAGCGACUUAUAUUCUGUAGCAAGGUUAACCGUAUAGGGGAGCCGGAGGGAAACCGAGUCUUAAUUGGGCGUUAAGUUGCAGGGUAUAGACCCGAAACCCGGUGAUCUAGCCAUGGGCAGGUUGAAGGUUGGGUAACACUAACUGGAGGACCGAACCGACUAAUGUUGAAAAAUUAGCGGAUGACCUGUGGCUGGGGGUGAAAGGCCAAUCAAACCGGGAGAUAGCUGGUUCUCCCCGAAAGCUAUUUAGGUAGCGCCUCGUGAAUUCAUCUCCGGGGGUAGAGCACUGUUUCGGCUAGGGGGCCAUCCCGGCUUACCAACCCGAUGCAAACUGCGAAUACCGGAGAAUGUUAUCACGGGAGACACACGGCGGGUGCUAACGUCCGUCGUGAAGAGGGAAACAACCCAGACCGCCAGCUAAGGUCCCAAAGUCAUGGUUAAGUGGGAAACGAUGUGGGAAGGCCCAGACAGCCAGGAUGUUGGCUUAGAAGCAGCCAUCAUUUAAAGAAAGCGUAAUAGCUCACUGGUCGAGUCGGCCUGCGCGGAAGAUGUAACGGGGCUAAACCAU
rnacentral:rRNA from 1 species